ACUUGAAUAGUCAAGUGGCUAAGACACCUUGGAAUCAUACAUCAAGCUCCAGUGCUAGAGGAUUCCGGGGAGGCGGGGGUUCGAUUCCUCCUUUGAGUA